rnacentral:rRNA from 1 species
GAUGAACGCUGGCGGCGUGCCUAAUACAUGCAAGUCGAGCGAACGGACGAGAAGCUUGCUUUUCUGAUGUUAGCGGCGGACGGGUGAGUAACACGUGGAUAACCUACCUAUAAGACUGGGAUAACUUCGGGAAACCGGAGCUAAUACCGGAUAAUAUUUUGAACCGCAUGGUUCAAAAGUGAAAGACGGUCUUGCUGUCACUUAUAGCUGGAUCCGCGCUGCAUUAGCUAGUUGGUAAGGUAACGGCUUACCAAGGCAACGAUGCAUAGCCGAACUAGGAGAGUGAUCGGCCACACUGGAACUGAGACACGGUCCAGACUCCUACGGGAGGCAGCAGUAGGGAAUCGUACGCAAUGGGCGAAAGCCUGACGGAGCAACGCCGCGUGAGUGAUGAAGGUCUUCGGAUCGUAAAACUCUGUUAUUAGGGAAGAACAUAUGUGUAAGUAACUGUGCACAUCUUGACGGUAACUAAUCAGAAAGCCACGGCUAACUACGUG